rnacentral:rRNA from 1 species
AUGAGGAGGAAAAAAUGGCCGGGGAACCCUGUGUGUACCUUCUGUAACAAUAUUGAAACUGCGUCCCACCUGUUCUUUACGUGUCCUGUGGCGCGUGUUGUCUGGACAGUUGGAGUUGUGUUGGGGACUGAAUUAUGCCCGAAUAACAACUGGCAAUUCUAUGUGUGGUGUAAUAUGUUCCUACCCAAUGAAUCUAGAUUUUAUACUGUUGGUUUGGCGGCACUAACUUGGGCUAUUUGGCUUGCGCGUAAUAAGGCUACUUUUGAAAAACAAUUGAUCAAAUCUCCAUUUGAGAUUGUGUAUUCGGCUUGUUCGUUUCUCUUGUAUUGGGCAGGUCUUCAGCCGGUGGAAGAAGUGGCAAGAUUGCGACUCGGAGCUUAGAUGAUUAGAGCGAGCACAACCAAGUUGAUGGCCAUGUGUGAAGGGGCCAGGCGCGCGACGGGAGACGAGGGUGAGGUGUUCUCUGGAUGA